UUAGGCUAAAACUUAUGGCAGAAGGGGAACUGAAAGAUAUGGAACAAUUUUUUGAUGACCUUUCAGAUUCAUUUACAGGGACGGAGCCAGAAGUUCAUAAAACAAGUGUAGUAGGGCUGUUUCUCCGCCACAUGAUCUUGGCAUACAAUAAACUGUCUUUUAGUCAGGUGUAUAAACUUUACACUGCCCUUCAGCAGUACUUCCAAAACGACGAGAAAAAGAAUGGAAUCGAUGAGAACGACAUGGAACUGGCAAAUACAGAGGAACUGGAGGGGAAAAUGGAGAAAGAAGAACUUGAUGUGCCUUUAAGGGAAGAAGAGAUAUCCUGCAGUGGGCCUCUUUCCCAGAAACAAGCAGAGUAUUUCCUUUCUCAGCAGGCUUCCCUGUUAAAGAAUGAUGAAACAAAGGCUCUUGCUCCGGCGUCUUUACAGAAGGAGUUGAACAACUUGUUAAAAUUUAAUCCAGACUUUGCUGAAGCACAUUAUUUAAGCUACUUAAAUAGUCUCAGAGUGCAAGAUGUCUUCAGCUCGACGCACAGCCUCCUCCAUUACUUUGACCGUUUAAUCCUCACUGGAGCAGAGAGCAAAAGCAACGGGGAUGAGGGUUACGGCCGGAGCCUGAGAUACGCCGCUCUCAACCUAGCUGCGCUGCACUGCCGCUUCGGCCAUUACCAACAGGCUGAACUUGCACUUCAGGAGGCCAUCCGGAUUGCACAGGAGUCUAACGACCAUGUCUGCUUGCAGCACUGCCUGAGCUGGUUGUACAUCUUGGAGCAGAAGAUAUUCGAUAGCUGUGUUCUGCUGGAGCACUCUGUAAACAAGUCCUUACAUUUCGGUUUGCCGUACCUUGCUUCCCUGGGAAUACAGUCCUUGGUUCAGCAAAGAGCUUUUGCAGGAAAGGCUGCCAACAAACUAAUGGAUGCCUUAAAAGACUCAGAUCUGUUGCACUGGAAACACAGCUUGUCAGAGCUCAUCGACAUUAGUAUAGCCCAGAAAACCGCCAUCUGGAGAUUAUACGGCCGCAGCACCAUGGCACUUCAGCAAGCCCAGACGCUGCUGAGCAUGAACAGUCUGGAGGCUGUGAACGUGGGCGUCCAGCAGAAUAACACCGAGUCCUUCGCUGUGGUGCUGUGUCACCUGGCUGAGCUGCACGCCGAGCAGGGGUACUUCGCAGCUGCUUCUGAAAUACUGAAACACCUGAAGGAAAGGUUCCCCGCCAACAGUCAGCAUGCACAGCUUUGGAUGCUGUUUGAUCAGAAGAUACAGUUUGAGCGAGCCAUGAACGAUGGCAGGUACCACGUAGCUGACUCUCUCGUAGCAGGGAUUACCGCGCUUGAAAGCAUUGAGGGCGCGUACAGAAAAGCCAUUGUGUUGAAAGCCCAAAAUCAAAUGUCAGAGGCGCACAAACUUCUGCAGAAACUGUUGACCCACUGCCAGAAAAUCAAGAACACCGAGAUGGUGAUUAGCGUGCUGCUGUCAGUCGCGGAGCUCUACUGGAGAUCUUCGUGUCACACCAUUGCGUUGCCUGUCCUGCUGCAGGCCCUCGCCCUCUCCCGAGAGUACAGCCUACAGUACUUGGCUUCGGAGACGGUGCUGAACUUGGCUUUCUCCCAGGUAUGUCUGACCUUUGCAUUCCUGAACAAGCCCUGAAUAUUCUGCACACGGCAAUAGAACCUGUCUUGGCCCAUGGAGCUGUCCUGGACAAAGGCUGUGCCAUGUUCUUGGUGGCCAAAUGUCAGGUGGCAUCGGCAGAUUCCUACGCUCCGCGGAAGAAGAUCGAAGCUUUGGAAUCUGCCAUCCUGAAUCUAAACGAAGCCAAGACGUACUUCGCCAAAGUGGACUGCAAAGAGCAGCUCCGAGACGUUCUCUACUUCCAAGCCCGGCUGUUCCACACCCUCGGCAAGACCCAGGAGAGGAACAAAUGUGCCAUGUUGUUCCGCCAGUUGCACCAGGAGCUGCCAGCACACGGCGUCCCCUUGAUCAAUGCCUUCAAGUGAGGCGUGGAAAGAUGAGGUUUCUUUGUUUUCCUGGCUUUUCUACAAAUGCCUUUUUAUUCUGCUCCGUCAGCCCUGUUUCAGAGUAACUGCCAGUAAAUCACGGUCU